AUGUAAUUUAAUUCCUACAACAUUAAUGCAUCUGAUCCCAUUAUAACUAUGUAGUUAAGUGCACUUAGACUAGAGUAUCACUAGGAUGGGUGAUCUCCCGGGGAGUCCUAGUGUAUUACAUG
rfam:Picea glauca, whole genome shotgun sequence.